rnacentral:rRNA from 1 species
UACGUAGGUGACCAGCGUUGUCCGGAUUUACUGGGCGUAAAGAGCGCGCAGGCGGUCGUUCAAGUCGAGUGUGAAAGCCCCCGGCUCAACUGGGGAGGGUCAUUCGAUACUGAUCGACUGGAAGGCAGGAGAGGGAAGCGGAAUUCCCGGUGUAGUGGUGAAAUGCGUAGAUAUCGGGAGGAACACCAGUGGCGAAGGCGGCUUCCUGGCCUGUUCUUGACGCUGAGGCGCGAAAGCCAGGGGAGCAAACGGG